CCUACGGGGGGCAGCAGUGAGGAAUAUUGGUCAAUGGACGAGAGUCUGAACCAGCAAAGUAGCGUGAAGGAUGACUGCCCUAUGGGCUGUAAACUUCUUUUAUAUGGGAAUAAAAUGUUCCAAGUGAGGGAUUUUGUAUGUACCAUAUGAAUAAGGAUCGGCUCACUCCGUGCCAGCAGCCGCGGUAAUACGGAGGAUACGAGCGUUAUCCGGAUUUAUUGGGUUUAAAGGGAGCGUAGGUGGAUUGUUAAGUCAGUUGUGAAAGUUUGCGGCUCAACCGUAAAAUUGCAGUUGAAACUGGGGGUCUUGAGUACAGUAGAGGUGAGCGGAAUACGUUGUGUAGCGGUGAAAUGCUUAGAUAUAACGAAGAACACCGAUUGCGAAGGCAGCUCACUGGACUGUAACUGACACUGAGGCUCGAAAGUGUGGGUAUCAAACAGGAUUAGAUACCCCUGUAGUC
rnacentral:rRNA from 1 species